rnacentral:pre_miRNA from 1 species
UCUCACAGAUGAGCAAAGAAAGUGGCUUCUUGAGAUGGAAUCUACUCCUGGUAAAGAUGCCGUGAA